GGCCGCCCUGGUCAUCGUCCUGGACAUAAACAGCGGCCUAGAACAAUUGUAAAGCACAAACCGAACAAAAUACCGUCACAUUCAGUGAUAACACCAGACACAACCGCUAGACCACCUCCUGAGGACACUGAUCUAGGAACCACUGUAACACCAGUACCUGAGGCACCAACAGAGGUAGAAUCUGAGAUUGACCCUAAGCUGGACCAUGAGCUAGAACCUGAGGUUGACCCUGAGGUAACCUCUAAGAUUAACCCUGGGGUAAACU